rnacentral:lncRNA from 1 species
UUAAGUUCAUUUACAAGUUUGAUCAAGAAAAAGAGUUUGAAAGUGCAAUGACAUAAGGCAAAAGUUUCUAAUUUGCAAACAAGUCAUAGUUUAGAAAUCACAAGCAAAGAAGAUUUUGAAAAGGGGGAGAGAUUUGAAAUUUAAGAAGUGGGAGGAGAUGAAGAGACUAAUCCUAAGCAAAAAUUAAAAGUUAAGAGUUAAAAAGAUCUGACCAAUGGGAUGCAAUCCAAUAG